AGGCGAAACCUCCGGGAGGAGGUCCGGCCGGGUGGUUCCCGGUCGCUGAUGAGCCAGCCUGCU
rnacentral:hammerhead_ribozyme from 1 species